rnacentral:rRNA from 1 species
AGUCAUAUGCUUGUCUCAAAGAUUAAGCCAUGCAUGUCUAAGUACAAGCCAAAUUAAGGUGAAACCGCGAAAGGCUCAUUAAAUCAGUUAUGGUUCCUUAGAUCGUACCCACACUUACUUGGAUAACUGUGGUAAUUCUAGAGCUAAUACAUGCAAAUAGAGCUCCGACCGGAGACGGAAGGAGUGCUUUUAUUAGAUCAAAACCAAUCGGCGACGGGUCAAACCGUUGUCGUAAUAUUUGGUGACUCUGAAUAACUUUUGCUGAUCGCACGGUCUAGCACCGGCGACGCAUCUUUCAAAUGUCUGCCUUAUCAACUGUCGAUGGUAGGUUCUGCGCCUACCAUGGUUGUAACGGGUAACGGGGAAUCAGGGUUCGAUUCCGGAGAGGGAGCCUGAGAAACGGCUACCACAUCCAAGGAAGGCAGCAGGCGCGCAAAUUACCCACUCCCGGCACGGGGAGGUAGUGACGAAAAAUAACGAUACGGGACUCAUCCGAGGCCCCGUAAUCGGAAUGAGUACACUUUAAAACCUUUAACAAAAAUCAAUUGGAGGGCAAGUCUGGUGCCAGCAGCCGCGGUAAUUCCAGCUCCAAUAGCGUAU